AAGAAAUAACUUGGCAGCAGCAUGAAUUACAACUCCUAUUGAUCCAACUAAAAGAGCAAGCAGCAAACGACGCAACUAAGCUAUGAAUAUUGUCAAAUUUUAGAGUCACCUUCUAAAAUCACGUCUCCAUUUUUCAGAAAUAGCUAUAAUAUACAUAUUUACUCCUUGAAGGUUAUAUAUUGUGCUGUGGAUCAUGUUUAUCUGUGGGUAUGUAUGGAAUGGAGGGAUGGCUUUUUAAUACUAUGCCUGACUGGAAUGUUAUUUCAACUAGACAUCAUUCCUUGCACCGAUGAUCAAAACAUUAUCACCUGUGCGCUGCAGAGAAAGAUAUUGACCAUUCCAUAACUUAUGCAUAUAUAUCUUUACCCUUUUAUUAGAAUGCAAGAACCUUUUAUUUUGGAUAAGAUCACACAAUUAGAUCUUAAUUUAUUGAAUCAAAUUCCAUUAUUAAUCCCUUUCUCAAAAAAAUAAUACCAUUAUUAAUCCACUCUUAGGGAUAUUUGUUUUUUUUUUCUUUUUUGGGUUAAUUACACUUUGAGCAGUUUAAAAAUGCAGGAGUGAGGCCAUGCUUGAAGGGAAGGCUGUCAAUGCUUCUCGAGUUCUUAACUACUACAAGCACAUGGUCAUGAUUUGUCAAUAAGCAUUCUUUAAAAAGUUGUAAACCCCCUGCUUGCAAGUGGACAUGAUUUCUUGAUGGUUGAGAAUGUCAAGUGCGGAUUUCAGUGGAAGUUAGUACCAAAAGAGAGAGUUGCUGGUGAGGUGCAAGCUUUCUAUGUAAAGAUUGAAUGGGGAACCCAUUGAAUUGCAAUUGGAUUUUAUGGUUUGAUGGCUUAGGAGAAAUCCAUAGUCCCUCCUCUGACAAUUCGGGAAGCCUUAUCCUUCGUACUUAUGGAAGGCAAGGUGGCUGCACCUGUACUUACCAGUAGCUCUGAGGAUUGCAGCUUUUGUUGUGGAAAGCAAACACUAAGCUGGGAGAUAUAAGCUGUUAAGAAAUAAACAUAUUUACUCCUUCCAGCAGAAGCAAUCUUCUCAACUCCUAAAAAUUCUUCUCAAAUUACAAAAUUUGGAGCUCAACAAUUAUACAUAGUGAUUUACUUUUGCUUCCUACGAAUGUGUGGAGUCAUAAAGAAAUUUGAGUUGUGAUUUUUGAAUGUCAUUUCAACCAGAGAUCUUGCCUUGUAGAGAUGAUCAAAGCAUUGUCACCAAUACACUGCAGAUUAACAGCCACUCUUAGGGCUUUUUUUUGGCUAGUAACUCUAUGGGAAAUUCGGAAAUGCAGCAGUGAGGGCGUGGUUGAAGGGAAGGCUGUCAAUCCAGUUUGCAAUAGGACACAAUUUGUUGAUUGUCAAGAAUGGCAAGUGCUGAUUUCAAUGCAAGUUUUACAUUGGUUAUGCGAUCUAAAGGAGGCUAACCAGUUAUUGUAGAUAUUCUAAACCAUUGAAAACAUGGAAAUGGCGAAGCACUCCCACUCAUUUUGCAAGUCUGAAGCUUUCGGUAGCAAACACCAUGAUGCCAAAAUCCUUUUGUGUCUUCCAUGAAUUUCCUGCCCGUCAGUUCUGAGGAUCAUAAACUACCUAUCAAGCUUGACCUGGUUGCAAAUUGUAAUAUCUAUCCCUUUAAGCAUGUAUAUUAAUGAGAAGGCAUAUUAGGCUUACUAUACAGCUUCAGAUCGUGGUAAUGAUGGAACUUGCAGUCUUUGAAAUCCUGACUCAGACUGUUCAAUGGUGAAAAUUCUUACUACUUGA